rfam:Otolemur garnettii contig050726, whole genome shotgun sequence.
AAAAGGGUUUAGAGUUGUCAGAUUCUGGUAGCCAGUCA